rnacentral:rRNA from 1 species
AUGUGCGCGAGGCGAACUUUGCUGAAAAGUUAUGAGAAUCUGAGGAUGGGAGAAGAUGAGACGGUGGAGGCCUUCGCGGCGAGGGUUGCUUCGAUGGUAAACGGGAUUCAUGGUCUCGGAGAGAAGUUGGAGGACAUCUCUGUGGUCCGCCAUUUCCUAUGUGCCGCUCCACCGCGCUACAUGCUGAUUGUGUCAACAAUCGAGCAAUGUGUUGAUCUCAAGACUCUCACUUUGGAUGAUCUGGUUGGUCGCUUCAAGGCCCAUGACGAGCCGAUGAAGCUGAGUUACGGUGAUGCAAAACAGGAUGAGUACCUGAUACUAACGCGUGCUCAGUGGCAGGCAUUGGUUUCCAAGGAGAACAAUUUCGACAAGGCGUCUGGUAGCGGCGGAAAGUACUGUCCCGCAAAGGACACUGACGAAGAGUCGGAGAAGCCAAGGAAGAAAAAGUUCGACAAGAGAAAGAUCCGCUGA